CAGCUGUAAACGAUGCAGACUAGGUGUUUGGACGGCCACGUGCCGUUCUAGUGCCGCAGGGAAGCUGUUAAGUCUGCCGCCUGGGGAGUACGAUCGCAAGAUUGAAACUUAAAGGAAUUGGCGGGGGAGCACCACAAGGGGUGAAGCUUGCGGUUUAAUUGGACUCAACGCCGGAAACCCACCGGGGGCGACAGCAAUAUGUAGGUCAAGCUAAAGACUUUACCAGAAUCGCUGAGAGGAGGUGCAUGGCGUAGUCGUGU
rnacentral:rRNA from 1 species